rnacentral:rRNA from 1 species
UGGCGGCGUGCUUAACACAUGCAAGUCNAACGGUGAUCUCGAGAGCUUGCUCUCGAGUGAUCAGUGGCGAACGGGUGAGUAACACGUGAGUAACCUGCCCCAGACUCUGGAAUAACCCCGGGAAACCGGAGCUAAUACCGGAUACGAGACGGAGAGGCAUCUCUACCGUCUGGAAAGUUUUUCGGUCUGGGAUGGACUCGCGGCCUAUCAGCUUGUUGGUGAGGUAAUGGCUCACCAAGGCGACGACGGGUAGCCGGCCUGAGAGGGCGACCGGCCACACUGGGACUGAGACACGGCCCAGACUCCUACGGGAGGCAGCAGUGGGGAAUAUUGCACAAUGGGCGAAAGCCUGAUGCAGCGACGCCGCGUGAGGGAUGACGGCCUUCGGGUUGUAAACCUCUUUCAGCAGGGAAGAAGCGAAAGUGACGGUACCUGCAGAAGAAGCACCGGCUAACUACGUGCCAGCAGCCGCGGUAAUACGUAGGGUGCGAGCGUUGUCCGGAAUUAUUGGGCGUAAAGAGCUUGUAGGCGGUUUGUCGCGUCUGCCGUGAAAAUUCGAGGCUCAACCUCGAACUUGCGGUGGGUACGGGCAGACUAGAGUGUGGUAGGGGAGACUGGAAUUCCUGGUGUAGCGGUGAAAU